rnacentral:rRNA from 1 species
ACAUAAUUUAUUUCUUUGUUUAUAUUAWUAAUUUAAAAUAAUAUUACUAUUAAGUCUUAAUUAACUAAAAAUUUCAUUUUCUUUCUUUAAUAUAAAAAUUAUAAUUCAUAUUUUCUUAAACAUGAGCUGCACCUUGAUCUAAUUUUAAUCAAAAAAUUUAAUUAAAUUAAUUUAUUACUAACAUUUAUGAAAAUGACGGUAUACAAACUUUACUUUAAUUUAAGUAAAAUCAUUCGUGGAUUGUCGAGUCUAUAAAUACAAAAUCCCCUAAUAAGAUAUAAAUUACCGUCAGGUUUUUUAAGUUUUG